UACGUAGGUGGCAAGCGUUGUCCGGAUUUAUUGGGCGUAAAGCGCGCGCAGGCGGUCCUUUAAGUCUGAUGUGAAAUCUUGCGGCUCAACCGCAAGCGGUCAUUGGAAACUGGGGGACUUGAGUACAGAAGAGGAAAGUGGAAUUCCACGUGUAGCGGUGAAAUGCGUAGAGAUGUGGAGGAACACCAGUGGCGAAGGCGACUUCUGGUCUGUAACUGACGCUGAGGCGCGAAAGCGUGGGGAGCAAACAGGG
rnacentral:rRNA from 1 species